AUGGUAAUGUCACGGCUCGCAGAUAUUAGCUACGAACUUUCUUCCCAUGUGAAAGUGCUUUACAACCCGAAGGCCUUCUUCACACACGCGGCAUGGCUGCGUCAGGGUUUCCCCCAUUGCGCAAUAUUCCCCA
rnacentral:rRNA from 1 species